rnacentral:lncRNA from 1 species
GUGUGGGUCACUGUCAACACAUUUGGAUCUUCUACAUCAGAAUCACAAACAUCUAAAAUUAUAUAGAGAAAUUAACAAAAAUUCUUACCUUCUCUAGCCAAAAGAAACUUAGCUAUAAUUUCACCCUAAAUGGGUCGUCGAUAUGCUCAUAGCUCCUGAUUUUCCGGUAAUGUAUGAAGUUAGGGCUGGAUACUGAUAAGAAUUUUGAGAUGUAAAGAAUCCAUAUGUACAAUUAUCAAUUGACUGUUGUGGCCAUCAAGAUCGUAACUCCAUUCACAACCGCCUCCCUUACAGCCACCUCUAUAACAUAAUCGUGCUUCCCCUUCCCUCCAGUAUGUCCGUAUCAAAGAAAAGAGAGAAAGAGCGGUAUGAAUUUCUUUUAAGAAGGGAAAACGGUGACUUUCAUUCAGGACUGCUACCAUAUCGUUUAGGAAGGAGAAAAUGGAAUGAGUUUAGGGACGGUGAUAUGUAUAGAAGAGAGAUAGAGAGCAAUUGAUUAGGGCGCGUCUGAUUUUCAUGUGAGCGAGGGCUUUUACCGUCUUUAAGAUUUUGGGGAUAAAAGCGGGGGUUUUAAAAUUUUUUGACGUAUCUCUCCUUUCAUU